GAUGAACGCUGGCGGCGUGCCUAAUACAUGCAAGUCGAGCGAACAGACGAGGAGCUUGCUCCUCUGACGUUAGCGGCGGACGGGUGAGUAACACGUGGAUAACCUACCUAUAAGACUGGGAUAACUUCGGGAAACCGGAGCUAAUACCGGAUAAUAUAUUGAACCGCAUGGUUCAAUAGUGAAAGACGGUUUUGCUGUCACUUAUAGAUGGAUCCGCGCCGCAUUAGCUAGUUGGUAAGGUAACGGCUUACCAAGGCAACGAUGCGUAGCCGACCUGAGAGGGUGAGCGGCCACACUGGAACUGAGACACGGUCCAGACUCCUACGGGAGGCAGCAGUAGGGAAUCUUCCGCAAUGGGCGAAAGCCUGGCGGAGCAACGCCGCGUGAGUGAUGAAGGUCUUCGGAUCGUAAAACUCUGUUAUUAGGGAAGAACAAAUGUGUAAGUAACUAUGCACGUCUUGACGGUACCUAAUCAGAAAGCCACGGCUAACUACGUG
rnacentral:rRNA from 1 species